AACAAAUAUAGGAGGAGGAACAUAUGUCAUCUAAUAUCACAUCGCGAUAGAGCUUAAAUGAAACAAUAAGGAUUCAUAUAGCGGGCUUUACUCAGGAACUAGUCAUCAUCCAUUGCACUUGUGUCAUAUUGUUCUCCACAGGCAAGACAUCUCCGUUAGCUAAAGCUCGUGGUCUCUUCUUUAAAGCACUGAUGCUCGUGGGAGACGCCGUGGUUGUAGUCGAUGACAGGCAUUCACCGAUGCUAGCAGGCAUAUCGGAAGCAUUUUUGUUCUCAAAACUAGUAACGACUUCAGGUAAUGAAGAAACUGGGACAAUCCCAUCACAGUUGUUCGUCGCGCCUUUGAUUGCUAAUUCAGAAAGCUGUUCCCUAGCAGUGUCUAGAUCAGGAGAUUCCACGGAGGUAUAGUUCAGAACUUUACAUGCUUUCUCGAGUAUCGUUUGCAAAUACUUGCCCUGUGCUUCGAUACGAAGCUGGACAUGGCGUUGUACCUCUAGCUGCUCUUGUAGUCUUCGUUGAACUUCCAUCUGUACUCGAAAAGCCUCGGUAACUUGGUAUCCACAAUCAUUUAUGUCCUGGGCAACUACUUUUGAUGAACCCGACGCUGAGGGACUUGUAUCUUGACUCUCUGCCACACAUGAUUCAUCUUUAUAGCUCUCGGCUGCCUCCUUAGAUUGCUUCCCUAGGCGAUAUUUCUGGAGGUGUGACUUCAAAUGAUAUAGGGUGAGUCCUUUCACCCCCAUUGCCUUCAUAAUUGUUUUUGGCGUAGCCUUAUCUGGGCCACCGAGUUGAGAAACAGCAUCCACAAAUCUUUCAUGUAGCUCCGCCGUCCACCGGAGUCUAGGCCUAUGAUCUGCCGUUAAAACCAAACAAGCAUCCCCUGCCAAAUUUGUCAUUUCACCAGAAAGUGAACUCUGUAAACUAGGAAGAUGAUGAUGA
rnacentral:misc_RNA from 1 species